UAAUAAGAAUCAUUCGCAAAAUUGUCCGAUAAUUAAGAUACCAUGUCUUCGUUUAUCAUCUGUGAAUCGCAACACCGGAAUUCUACAAAGAGAGCUCUUGAGCAUUGAUUGUCAAGAACCCGACCUUAUAUGGGUUAGGAUUGCUAAUUUUGUAUCUAAAUUGUGAUUUCAAUUAUGAUUUGAACAGAGCUCUUGAGGUUAUUUUUAGAUUGGUUAGUUUUAAAACAAAUCUCUUAUUAUAAAUCUACAAUGAAUAGAGUUAAUACAUUUUGUAAUUGGAUAGUGUAUAGAUUUUAACAGUCAAUUUUGUUACAUGAGAAGAGUUAUAAUUAAUUUUGCUUCCAAAAUAUUUCAGUUUUGUCUGAAGGUGAUUUUGUUGGCAAAAGAAAAUGAUUUCCCAGAUUAAUUUUCUGAUACGAUUAUGAGUUUAUAAGAUCUGUUUAUAAAUUUGUGGUCAUGAUGAUACAAAGAUCAAUUUAUACCAGGCUAAAGAUCAUCUCCGUGUUUAAUUCUUUUGGAGGAGGCUGUAUUUAUGGCAUCUUUGUAGCAAAUCAAAAAUAUGAAAGUAUAUAUGCAAAAGGUUAGUGAGGCUUUGUGGCUAUUCAGUCUGUUAAAUUCAGUAAGUAGAACUGAUUUAGUAAAUUCGAGGCUUUAAUAGGUUACAUGCAUACAAGCUAAUCAUCAUGUCCGAGUAUAAUUGGAACACUGUGUGCGGCUUCUAAUGAUGUUGUCUUUGGAGCUAUUCAGAAAGCUUGAAGCAAUGUUAAGGUUAUUUAGAUGAUAAGGAUUGCAUACUUUUUUUAGGUCUUACGAAUAUUUAGUUGCUGUUAAACUUUUGAAUGAGUAGAAUUGUGAUAGAAAACAUUGAUUUGUCAAUCUUUGUUAAAAUGAGUUUUCUAAAGUCUCGUGAUUACAACUAUCUGUUUUCUAAAGUUUCCAUUAGCAAUAAAUUGCUUUCUUAUAUUGUUUGAUGAUACUUAAUCAUCGUAACUGCUUCUGUAUAUGAUUUAUAUAACUUCAUAUUGCUUAAUAUGAAGUUAGUAAAGCAAACUUUUGAAAACAAAGUUAAGCUGUUUUGAAUUGGAUUUUGAUAUUCUGGAAAAAAGAGAAGAUGAAAAGAACAGAUAGAUUCAAAACAACAUUAUUUCUUAUCUAGAAAAUGAUUUCAGUAACCACAAUACUUUCCAAAUGCCUUUAGAUUCCAGCUUUUCCCUGUUAAACAUAUAAAAGAAAUGAUUAUUAUAGGAUAGCAUAUUUCUAAAAAUAUUCAAUCCUUGCAGAUUAUUAGUAUAGAUUGUUACCUCUUGCAUAUCAUGUCGCUUGCAAAGAAAAUUGUUAUAUGUUUUGAAAAACUUCUUUGAACACCACAUUCAUCGUUGCUUUCGGUGGGUUUCCUUCUUUGUCCAGUAUGAGGAUUUUUUAUCCUUUCUUAUUACCCUAGAGAUUGCACAUAGAGUUGGCCAUGUGAAAGGUUUGAUGUCAGCAAGGUUGGUGAUCCCAAGCUUUAACGUGAAGAGAAUAGAUGAAAGCUUUAAAAGAUCCGGAUCAUAAAUGCAAGAGCUUCAUAUCGGGCCUAUUGAUUGUAAGCCCAAUAGGACCACUAAAAAAUUGCACAAAUCGGGUCUGCUAGGAUCCGCGUGUUUUACCGAGUGUAGACCCGAGAUCCGCGUGUUUAUCCGAAUGAUGAUCUGACUAAAGGAUCCAAGAUCCGCGUCCCAGUUCGAGCCUAUUGUCCAUUAUACCCCUCGUCUAAAUCUUUUUUUUAGUCGUAGAAUCAAAAAUUUCUAAUGACAUUUUUUGUAAUUCUUUACCCUUGAUAAGGUUAUUUAUUAUCCAAUGCUUCCCAAUUAAUAGUAUAGAUGUAGGAAAACACUUUUCCUGUUUUUGUUGAAAUGUACUUAGGUUUCUUGU